rnacentral:rRNA from 1 species
UGGCGGACGGGUGAGUAACGCGUGGGUAACCUGCCUUACACAGGGGGAUAACACCUGGAAACAGGUGCUAAUACCGCAUAAGCGCACAGGGCCGCAUGGCCCGGUGUGAAAAACUCCGGUGGUGUAAGAUGGACCCGCGUCUGAUUAGCUUGUUGGCGGGGUAGAGGCCCACCAAGGCGACGAUCAGUAGCCGGCCUGAGAGGGUGGACGGCCACAUUGGGACUGAGACACGGCCCAAACUCCUACGGAAGGCAGCAG